rnacentral:lncRNA from 1 species
GGGAAAGCGUGCCAGGCUCCAGCCUAUGGGACCGUUGUUCUGCUGCCACCUGGAAAUCCUCCCAGAGCUCAAAGCCUGCUGCUCUGGGCAAAGCUGACAAGGAAGGACAGAUUCAGCAGCCAACCAAGGAGCAUACCUUCAUUUGAUUUCCUUAAGGCAAAAGCACUGGCUAAACAAAGGGAGACUAUCUGGGAGAAGGUGUUUUCACCCUUUCAAGCUGGGGUGCUUUCACCACCGGGAAGUGCCACGCUGCUUUCCACGCUGGAACAAGGACUCACUUCCUAAGGCCUUGGUUCCCCAGGAGCUGUUGGCCAGAAGCCUCCCUCGGUGCCCUGCCUCAUGGGCCUCUUCGUUGAGCAUCUCACAACGUGGCAGCUUACUUCAUCAGUGCAAGCAAGCAAGAGCAAGAGAGAGGACUCACCAGAGACAGUAAUAGCAAAACAGAAGGCACAGUCUUUCGUAAUCCAAUCACAGAUGUGACAUCCCAUCACUGUUGCCACAUCCUGUGAGUUAGAAAUGGUGGAGCCUUACUCUGUCGCUCAGGCUGGAGUGCAGUGGCGAGAUCUCGGCUCAAUGCAACAUCCGCCUCCCAGGUUCAAAUGAUUCUCCUGCCUCAGUCUCCGGAGUAGCUGGGAUUACAGGUGCCUGCCACCAUGCCCCGCUAAUUUUUGUAUUUUUAGUAGAGACGGGGUUUCACUAUGUUGGCCAGGCUGGUCUCGAAAUCCUGACCUCAGGUGAUCUGCCUGCCUCGGCCUCCCAAAGUGCUGGGAUUACAGGCAUGAGCCUCCAUGCCCGGCCUUGCUUUUUAUAUUUUUGACAAUAACAGAGCCACGGGAAGAAAGGAUGUGAUUAGGGGAAGAAAAAAGGGGAGAGGUUCAUGUUGUCUUUAUUUUCAUUAAUGAAUGUCUCAAACAUUUUAGGGUAUAAAUAGCAAUCAGUAUUUAGGAAAGGAAGCUGGAUUCACACUACUUGGAAAUCUGGGUCUUUACUCAUCCAUGGCAAUUUUUGGGUAUCAUGUGCUCUUACAGAAUCUCAUCUUAUGAUAUAGAUUCAGUUUACAGCUAUUCUAUGAUGCUUGAGUAUUUCAAAUAUUAAGUACAUUGAGGCUCAUGAGAAUUGCUAAUCUGCCGUGUGAAACUGCAGAGUUGUUUCCCAAGGGUAGAGAUGCAUUCACAUCCACCCACAUAGUACAAAGGGGGAAAUGAUUACGCUGGCCUGGAUUUUUUGUAAUAGUCCCGUGACAUGGCUUCCACAUUGCUCUGUGGGCUGUGGUUAAAGAACCUAAUCUAGAACAAGACAAGACUUGUAGAUUUAAAAAGUCACCUAAGCUGUUUCUUUCCUAGACAAAUGGGAUUCUAGUUUGGGUUUUAUUUUAUUUUAUUAUUUUUUGAGACAGUCUCAUUCUGUCAUCCAGGCUGGAAUGCUGUGGCGCAAUCUCGGCUCACUGCAAACUCUGCCCCCUGGGUUCAAGCUAUUCUCCUGCCUCAGCCCACCUAGUAGCUGGGAUUACAGGUGUGUGCCACCACACUCAGCUAAUUUUUUUGUAUUUUUAGUAGAGACGAGGUUUCACCAUGUUAGCCAGGAUGGUUUCAAACUCCUGGCCUCAUGUGAUUCACCCACCUUGGCCUCUCAAAGUGCUGGGAUUAUAGGCAUAAGCCACAGUGCCCAGCCCUAAUUUGAGUUUCAGAGGGCAAUUUGUACCGUUUGGAAAAGAUGCUGGAUCCUUCAAUAUUACUGCUUUAGAAAGAUUUGGAACUCUGACCCAUAUUUAGUACAUGACCUUUCUGGGGCGUGGAAAAAUAUGCUCUGUCAUCUAAUGUGAUGUCAAUUUUCUUUAACCUUCCAUGUAAAUAGUGCGCAUUAAGACAUGAGGUCUACUGUUAAAUAAUUUCUCUUUAUAAACAUAGUGACAACAAGAUUGUACAGUAUCAAUUAAAAAGACCCAAUGUGACCAG